rnacentral:lncRNA from 1 species
UUCUUUUGUUGUGGUCCUCCGGAAGAGCUUGCUCCACCUUUCCUAGAUGCCAUUUAUCCGGAACCUUGGUUGACCGUUUGUGUUUUGGGUGAGGGUUGGGUGUUGGGGAAAUGUUUUGAGUAGAAAAGGUUGGUUGGGUGAUGGGGUUGGGGUUUGAGUAAGUGGUAGGAGUUGGAUUGGGUGAAUGGAUGAAGAAUUUGUGGGUUUUUAGGUAGGUGAAUGGGGGCUACGAAUUUGAUGAUAUUUGGGAGGGAUGGAGGAAA